GGGCGAAUAGCUCAGGGGGAGAGCACUUGCCUUACAAGCAAGGGGUCGCUGGUUCGAAACCAGCUUCGCCCACCA
rnacentral:tRNA from 1 species